rnacentral:rRNA from 1 species
GAUGAACGCUGGCGGCGUGCCUAAUACAUGCAAGUCGAGCGAACGGACGAGAAGCUUGCUUUUCUGAUGUUAGCGGCGGACGGGUGAGUAACACGUGGAUAACCUACCUAUAAGACUGGGAUAACUUCGGGAAACCGGAGCUAAUACCGGAUAAUAUUUUGAACCGCAUGGUUCAAAAGUGAAAGACGGUCUUGCUGUCACUUAUAGAUGGAUCCGCGCUGCAUUAGCUAGUUGGUAAGGUAACGGCUUACCAAGGCAACGAUGCAUAGACGACCUGAGAGGGUGAUCGGCCACACUGGAACUGAGACACGGUCCAGACUCCUACGGGAGGCAGCAGUAGGGAAUCUUCCGCAAUGGGCGAAAGCCUGACGGAGCAACGCCGCGUGAGUGAUGAAGGUCUUCGGAUCGUAAAACUCUGUUAUUAGGGAAGAACAUAUGUGUAAGUAACUGUGCACAUCUUGACGGUACCUAAUCAGAAAGCCACGGCUAACUACGUG